GUUUACGCUGGUUUCGGAAGAGAAUAGAAGGCAAGGGAAUUGAAAUUUCCUUUCCUUUUGUUUUUGUUUCCUUUUCUGAUUGUUUCUUCCUGUGGAAGGAAAGUGAAAGAAAGGAAAGGAACAGAAAGUGAUGGAAGCUGCNNNNNNNNNNNNNAUCAGAAGAAUACAUCCUAAGAAAUCGCAGACUGCUCUCUCCGCUCUCCUCAGCCUCCUGCCUCACCACUCCUCCGAUCUCCUCUCCCAAGUCGAUCAGCCUCUCCAGGUUGUGUGUGAUGUGGAUUGUGGAAAGGAGUUCAUAUUAUGUGAAUAUAAUAGAGAUGCUGACUCUUACAGGUCACCGUGGUCAAAUAAAUAUCACCCACCCCUAGAAGAUGCACUCUAUCCGUCUUCAGAGUUGAGGAAACUUGAAAUUGAAGCAAAUGAAGUCUUUGCCAUCUAUCGUGACCAGUAUUAUGAAGGUGGCAUCUCAUCUGUUUACUUGUGGGAAGAUGAUGAUAGUGAAGGUUUUGUAGCAUGCUUUUUGAUAAAGAAAGACGGCUCAAAAACAGGGCAGGGCAGAAGGGGUUACCUGCAGGAGGGAGCUUGGGACGCCAUUCAUGUUAUUGAGGUGGGGCCAGAAGAGGAAGGAGCAGCCCAUUAUUGUUUGACCAGUACUGUUAUGCUAUCUUUGACUACAAAUGGCGAGUCAUCUGGCACUUUCAGUCUCUCAGGGUCUAUUAGACGACAGAUGAACAUGGACCUCGCAAUUGCAGAUGGUCAUCUUUGUAACAUGGGAAGGAUGAUAGAAGAAAUGGAGGGUAAACUUAGGAACUCACUUGAUCAGGUUUAUUUUGGGAAGACAAAAGAGAUGGUUUGCACUUUACGACCCCCAGCUGAAGUAGUGAUGAGACUGCCAAACAGCUGAGCAUUAUAUGAUGAUGGCAACAGAGGAUGCAUUCUGUCUAUGUCAGAAAUUCGUGUAACAGUGAUUGCUGAAGGAUAUUUGUAGAUUUUCUCGUCUCUUCACCUUUUGGCUUAUUACUUGAGAUCAUUAUAUAUUCACAGUUUGUCUAAUUGUAAACUGAGGUGGUUCCUUUUGCAGAGGAGAGUUAUCCUUUUUGUGCUUUGCCA
rnacentral:misc_RNA from 1 species